rnacentral:rRNA from 1 species
GACAGAGGGGGCAAGCGUUGCUCGGAAUUACUGGGCGUAAAGGGCGCGUAGGCGGGAUGGCAAGUCGGUCGUGAAAUCCCUCGGCUCAACCGAGGAACGUCGAUCGAUACUGCUGUUCUUGAGGAUUGCAGAGGAGACUGGAAUUCCCGGUGUAGCGGUGAAAUGUGUAGAGAUCGGGAGGAACACCGGUGGCGAAGGCGGGUCUCUGGGCAAUUCCUGAUGCUGAGGCGCGAAAGCGUGGGGAGCAAACGGG